rnacentral:rRNA from 1 species
CUCUGUGACUCCUACGGGAGGCAGCAGUGGGGAAUAUUGCACAAUGGGCGCAAGCCUGAUGCAGCCAUGCCGCGUGUAUGAAGAAGGCCUUCGGGUUGUAAAGUACUUUCAGCAGUGAGGAAGGUAUCGUAGUUAAUAGCUGCGGUAUUUGACGUUAGCUGCAGAAGAAGCACCGGCUAACUCCGUGCCAGCAGCCGCGGUAAUACGGAGGGUGCGAGCGUUAAUCGGAAUUACUGGGCGUAAAGCGCAUGCAGGUGGUUUGUUAAGUCAGAUGUGAAAGCCCGGGGCUCAACCUCGGAAUUGCAUUUGAAACUGGCAGACUAGAGUACUGUAGAGGGGGUAGAAUUUCAGGUGUAGCGGUGAAAUGCGUAGAGAUCUGAAGGAAUACCGGUGGCGAAGGCGGCCCCCUGGACAGAUACUGACACUCAGAUGCGAAAGCGUGGGGAGCAAACAGGAUUAGAUACCCUGGUAG